AGGAAAGAGAGAUACCGCAAAGUGACUAUUUUAGAUAUAUCUGGGGUCAAUCAUAAAUAAAGAAUGUGACAUAGAGGAUGAUGUUUCACAGAGAAUUAAAGUGGGAUGGAUGAAGUGGAGAGGUGUGUCUGGAGUAUUGUGUGACCAACGUAUUCCUCUAAAGCUUAAAAGAAAGUUCUAUAGGAUUUGUUGUUAGACCAGCUAGCCAG